rnacentral:rRNA from 1 species
AAGGAUUCCCCUAGUACGGGCGACGGAAGCGGGAUAAGCCCACAUUGGUAAUCUCCGGGCGGCAGCUCGGCGAAUUGUAAUCUGAAGAUAGCUAGUCUAAUUGGACCGGACGCCGAAGUGCGCACGAGCGCGCCGCCAUAGAGGGUGAGAGCCCCGUAUGGUGUCGGGUCCUACAAGGGCUGGUUGUCCAAGAGUCGUGUACUUUGAUACUAGUGCACUAAGCGGGAGAUAAACUUCUUCUAAGGCUAAAUACAAGUAGGAAACCGAUAGCGAACAAGUACUGUGAAGGAAAGAUGAAAAGCACUUUGGAAAGAAAGUUAAAAGACUUGAAAUCGUUGAGGCGGACCCGGUAGAAAUGUAUUCUAGCGAAGCGCCCUGGGAAGCCUAUAUUUGGGCCACUCGGGCGUUAGCCGAGACAAGAUGGAGUCGCCCGAUGCCAGAGGCCGUGCGCGAGGCUGCUUGCAGCAGCGCGUGCUGGCCGGGUGUCGGGCGGCUUGAGGGGCCUUGCGCGAUCUUGUCAAAAUGGUUUUUACCGACUCGUCUUGAAACACGAACCAAGGAGUCUAAGACUAACGCGAGUGUGGUGGUGGAAAAACCAACACGCGAAAUGAAAGUAAUUGAUGCCAAGCUCCCUGCAGCAUCGACCGACCACUUUCUUCUGGGAGAGGUUUGAGUAAGAGCGUUAUUCUUAGGACCCGAAAGAUGGUGAAACUAU